rnacentral:miRNA from 10 species
UUCGUCCUGGGAAACGGGGUGCGGCCGGAACGGCGGCUGCCCCGUCGCCCGUCACG